UUUACCUUUCCCAAACAUCCCUAACUAGAAACCAGUCCUUAACUGUAAGUCCAGCACACCACCUGCUCCAACAUACUGUGACAUCAUCAAGGAUGCCAAAAGAAAAUUUGCAGAUAACAAAAAGGAUUUUAGGAGAGUAAAGCAAAGAAUCAAAGACGACAUCAAGUUCCUGAAAGAGCAACAGGAACAAAUCGACAAGGAGCUUGACCGGCUCCAAGCAAAGGCUUCCAAAAAUCUCCAAGAAGUCAAAACUGAUUUUGAAAAUUUUCUACAUAAGCUGCGUGUUGAGGCUAAACUCAAAGAGGAAUACAGAGGAUCAGCAUCAUCAUCGGAGUCGCUACAGUCACUGCAGUCACCAAAUUCAUCGUUGUCAUCCCCUGCCAUGUCAGAAGACUUCAACUCUGUGGAAGAAGGAGGGCUAAAGGAAGCCAGGAACGACCACUAUUUAAGAACAACACACAGUUCAUUCAGCUCUAUCAAUUUAAUUGGAGGAGAGUGUAUAACUAAAAGUAAAUUUUGCUGUUCAUCUUUAAAAUCUUCACAUCAAUAAAUCUUAAUCAUACUUCAAA